rnacentral:misc_RNA from 1 species
UUCAAUAUGUUAUUGUCAUGACUUUUGUGAAAGUAUAUUUUUGGGGGUGUCAUAUCUUGUAAAUUAUUACAUAAUAUGACUGAAUUCCGUGGUGUUAUUUCAAUCUGUUACGUAGUUUGUAUACCAUUAUCAAUGAUUAUGCUUUGCCAAUCAUUUAAUAAUUAAAGUGUUUACCUUUAUGUAAAUACGGCAUUGAUUUUGGGUUUUUAAUUGUUGAUUGGAAACGUAUUCUCAUUGCAAAAUAAAAAGGUAGCUGCUGAGACAGAAAUAAUUGUCUGAGGUCUGCACAACUUAUUGCUGAGGUCUGACAAUGGUUCUCAAAGUUUGUGUGAUUGGGGCUGGUAUUAUUGGACUGUCGUCGGCCAUUCAGAUACAGGAGAGACUCGGACAGCAGGACAUAACUCUCGUAGCUGACAAGUUUUCACCUGAAACUACAGGGGAUGGAUCAGGCGGAUUCUGGAAACCUCACAUGCUUGGAGAAACUCCCAUUUCUGAUAUUAGACGAUGGAGUGUGACGACAUGGCAGCAUCUGACAGACAUAGCAACAUCGCCACUGGCAGCCCAGGCUGGAGCAUCCACUGUGUCUGGCUACUCACUGUCCAGCAGGCCACAGUACCAGGAGGAAUGGUGGAAGGACCUCGUGCUGGGCUACCGCCAUCUCUCCCCCCGGGAGCUGCAGAUGUUCCCUGAUGCAAAAUCCGGUGUAUUCUUCACCACUGUUCAGAUAAAUGCUGUAGCGUAUAUGGACUACUUGUUGAGAAGAUUUCAGAAAAAUGGUGGAAAACUUCAGAUGAAAACUAUUACCAGCAUUGAUGAGGUUGCCUAUGACUACGACGUUGUUGUGAACUGCAGCGGCAUCAGAGCCAGGCAUCUACUCGGGGACCUCGAUGUCGUGCCAGUCAGAGGUCAUCUCACCAGGGUUCGGGCUCCAUGGGUGAAGCACUUUGUCUUGAGGCUGGAUCCUGGAGAAGAAGCAUUUGUGUUGCCGGGGGUGUUGACCUCAGUGUUAGGUGGUGCUGAUGAGGUCGGCAACUGGAGUACCGAGGUCAGGGAAGAAGACAAGACGGCUGUGUGGCAGCGAUGUUGUCAGCUGAUGCCGAGUCUACAGGAUGCACAGGUGGACCAUCACUGGGUGGGUUUGCGUCCCAGUCGGUCCCGGGUCCGGCUGGAGACAAGUCACAUGACGGUCCAGGGGAGAGCAGUACCAGUGAUUCACAACUACGGCCAUGGUGGUUCCGGAGUGACGCUACACUGGGGGUGUGCUGUGGAGGCUGCUGACCUCGUGCUCAGAGAGAUCCAAGCCAGGAGACCCAUGGCCAAACUCUGACCUCUACCUCCUGCAGAUCUGAGGCAGGAGACGCAUGGCCAAACUCUGACCUCUACUCCGGCAGAUCUGAGGCAGGAGAUGUGUGGCCAAACUCUGAGGAACUGUACAGCUGUCUAUAUACCUGUCUGUCAAGAUGUAUAACUGUCUAUAUAUACCUAUCAGUGCUUUAUCCACAACUCAGGUCAAAUUUGUUUACAUCUAUAUUUACCAAAGAUCUGUUUAUUUGUUCUAAACAGACAGAAUGUUUUUUCUGUGUUUUUUUGUUCUUGUCUGUGAAUGUGAAAAUAUUUUUAUUGAAUGUAUUUCAUUGGUGUGUUGUGAGAUGAGAAGGAUGCUGUAUUGCACUCUCAAGGACAAGGUUAUAUCCUGCACACCGCUGAGCAGGAUGGUGUAUUGCACUGUCAAGGACAAGGUUAUAUCCUG